GUAGUGGCAGCAUGACAGCGAGCAGAGAAAUCAGAGUUAGUGCCUGGGCCUUACAUGACAGAAAUUUAUACAAACAAAAUUCUCACUGGUUCAGCAGGACUGACCAGUGCAGACAAGGCAGCUCUGGUGUUUUUUAAUCAGUGUUAGUCAAUGAAACCUGCUUUUCAGCAGGUUUAACUACCAUGAUCAUAAAACUUGGUUCAGCUGCAGAAGUCUUGUCUGUAUUAUGACUCCCCUCAGUUCAACUGAACUAGAGGUAGAACUGGUGGAAUUUUUGUGUGUGUAAGUUUCCCUGCUAUAGCUAAAGCCUCUAAGGUCAUCUUGUUACCAUAGUCUUUACUUAGCUGGAGUUUCCUGAGGACCUUUGGGCAUAGCAAGGAGAAGACCAUGAUGUUUAUAUAACUAAGUGACUCAAAAACUACACCUACAGAAAUGCAGCCACCACUGGGGCAGAGGAGAGCAGCUGAGAGGGAGGAUAUUUUGGCAGAGAACAUAUCCUGCCAAACUCAUACUCUAUAAGAAGUUCCAGGGGGUAUCUGCUGUCCACAAAUAGCAAAGUGUCGGGGUUUAUAAGCUUGUAUCAGGAGACAAGCUAUGCAUGUGUUUGCUUCCAUGGUGGUGAGCCCAAUGUCUAGAAAUUGGACAUAUGGCAUGAUUCCUAAUGCCAACCUCCUGUUUGCAUGGAACAUGGAAGAAAGCAAUUCUCCAUACCUGAGGCUUCUUCCUGGGUCGUCCCCGUCCUCUCUUCUCAGACACGUCCUCCUCCUGUUUGGAAGCCAAGGGCUGGCUGGAUUUUGCACUAGAUUCACUCAUCGUCUUUCUUCCAGAGGACAAAAGAAGAAGAAGAAAGGGUAGAGGAGUGUAAAGGCACACUUGGACAGAGCUACCAGGAAAAGAGCAAGAUGCAUGAGGGCUAUGGAACAGUCUCCCCAUGGAAAGUGGCAGGAGCCCCAUUGCUUAGGGAACUUAAAAGUAGCUGCACAGAGUACUCCACCAGGGAAUAAUCCUGCUUUGGUAGGAGAUGGUCAAGGUAGGACCUCAAAGGGCUUUUCUAGCUACCAAUUCUGUCUUCCAGGCUGAUCCUCUUCCUAUCGGGUUUUUAACCCAUGGUCUGUACAAUGCUCCCCUUUCUUGUCUUCCCUAAGGCUGCUGGAGAAGAUACUCCAGUGGGCAUUUAUGCUUCUGUUGUUUGUAUUGCUGAGUUCAGGGUCCCCACUGUCCUAGGUGUUGUACAUGUGCAAUAGUAAGAGAGAGUCCCUGCCCUGCCUUGUCUUACAACCUAAGAUAAGACGGAGAAAAGGAGGAUUAUUUACCCCUGCUUGGCAGAUGGGCAACUGAGGUGUAGAAAGAUGAAGAAACUUGCCCUGGAUUGCACACUGAGUAGUCAGGGAUCAAAUUUUCUAAAUCCCAGCCCAGUGCCUUUGCUAUAAGACCUGCCUUUAGCUCCAGUGUAUCUCAUGCUGAUCCCAAGAAUACCCCAACAGGAUCCACACCUUGACCCAGUCAGAGUGCCUGGCUCUUUUGAUGCUAUCCCGCAGCUCUGUACUGUCCCUCUCAAAGUCACAGGCAGAUCUUAGGCAUACAGAGCAAAAUGCAUCCUGCACUAGCCGUUGUCGCAUCCUGCCAGGCUGAGACAUGGAUGGAAGGGGGAGUAUGUUCCAACCUGUCAUGGUGCUAGGUGCUGUACAGAGACCGUCCCUGCCCCAAAAUAUUUAGUCUGAAUUAAUUCCCUGCAGCACUGGAGCCAAACUGUACCCUCUGUGGAGGAGCUGUGUGUGGGAGAAGUGGUGCAAAGGUCACCUUGGGGCAGCUGUUAAAGCCAGUCAGAAGGAAGUGCCCCUGGGCACCCUCAGCUGGCUCCCUUGUUGAGUUCUCAUGCUCCUUGUCUCCAGCUGUGACUCCUAGCACUGGGGGUGGAAGCUGGGAUUCCCCUGUCCUCCACAGCCGCUGCUCCCCUGAAUUCCCUCACCCCCGCCGUGCAGUGCCCUUCACACACAUUGCACGCACCAGAGACUCCCUGCAACUCUAAAUUCUCUGUGUGCCCCCAACCACACUCAACAAAAGAAGUCCAUUUUUCUAGCAGUUAAGCCACUAACCACCAGUGCUCAGAAUAACGUCUCCUCCAAGUCAGCAGUGACUAGAAUGGGUCCAAUUCCAAAAGGAUCAGCAACAUUCAGGAAACAAAACCCACGCCCAGCAAAAUGCCUUCGGGUUCACUAAAACAAGUGAUACCAGCAUCUAAAUUACUUUGUCUGAAUAAAUCUGUGGCAGAGCAGUCGGCAAACUCAUCCCCAACUGAUCACAAGGGAAGCCUUAACGUAGUCCAUGCAAGACCAUCUAGAGUUAAUGGACUCCCAUCCAGCUCGAGGAAGCUAACACCUUGGUAAAGGUUAAUCCGGAUACUUUAGAGUAGUAAAAAAAGUUUCAAGGACCCUCUUCCCAUCUAUAAAGAAGGGGUGUUUGCAACCCCCUGAAACCUGUUCACAAUCCCCCAAUGGAGAACCCAUGUCCCAGGAAAACAGGUGCUUAAUGAUAUUAGUUGUCAGCAACUGGAUCCCAUUCAAAUGAUGUUGAAAGUUGUUUUAGGAGAGGACAAAUCUCUAUCCAACACUGUUGCAUGCCUAAGACAAGCAAUGGUCAGUCUCAUCUACCCUCCCAGCUGUAGCAACCGAACACGGUCCCCUUUGCAGACAAUUGCCCUCAGCAACGGCCGGUUUGCUCAAAUUCACACCAACAGUUUUCGUCCCACGGUGAUGGGCAUGUAGCCAUCCUCAGCAGGGCUUCACUGCUAUGGCCUGAAAUGGCCAAGCUGGGAUGUUCAGAUUUCUAAACAAGUUGCAUAGUGUGAUGAAAGCCCAAGGAAACCACACACACAUCCUGAAUGCACAGACCUUCUAGGUUUUUAAAACAGUACAUAUGGGCUCAUGUUCAGCUGUGGAAGUGACUCACAAGUAAGUAAACCUCAGAAGCCACAGCCUCAUGUAAACACCCCUAUGUAUUACUCACUACAGCCAAAAGCCCUUCAAGGAUUCUCUCCCUCAGAAACAUGGUCCCAAUGUUUUGGGUUGGGUUUGUUUUUAAGUAAAAUUCUUGGCCACUUGGGUAUCCAGUUAAGAAGUCAGGACGCUUGUCAAAUGAGAUACAUCCUCCGAGCACUCCCUUCCAUCUCUAACAACCUGGGCAUGCAGGCGUGGGGAGCGCUGGACCCACAACCUAGUUCCCUCCGCCCUCUGGAAAAGCCCCUCAUCUGGGG